rnacentral:rRNA from 1 species
UCGCAAUGCCCGAAAGGGUGACGAAGCGACGCCGCGUGAGUGAGGAAGGCCUUCGGGUUGUAAAGCUCUGUCAGGAGUUAAGAAAUGUAAGUGUGCUAAUAUCACAUUUACUUGACGAAGGCUCCAAAGGAAGCCACGGCUAACUCUGUGCCAGCAGCCGCGGUAAUACAGAGGUGGCAAGCGUUGUUCGGAAUUAUUGGGCGUAAAGAGCACGUAGGUGGGUUUGUAAGUCAGAUGUGAAAGCCUUCUGUUCAACGGAAGAAUUGCAUCUGAAACUACAAGUCUUGAGUGUAGGAGGGGAGAAUGGAACUUCUGGUGGAGCGGUGAAAUGCGUAGAUAUCAGAAGGAACGCCGGCGGCGAAAGCGACUCUCUGGCCCGAAACUGACGCUGAGUGUGCGAAAGCUAGGGGAGCAAACGGGAUUAGAUACCCCGGUAGUCCUAGCCGUAAACGAUGGGCACUAAGUAGAGGGGUUUUA